rnacentral:rRNA from 1 species
GACGAACGCUGGCGGCAGGCCUAACACACGCAAGUCGAACGCAUCCUUCGGGAUGAGUGGCGCACGGGUGAGUAACACGUGGGAACGUACCUUGGAGUACGGAAUAAUCCUUGGAAACGAGGACUAAUACCGUAUACGCCCUUCGGGGGAAAGAAUUUCGCUCCAAGAUCGGCCCGCGUCCGAUUAGCUAGUUGGCGGGGUAAUGGCCCACCAAGGCGACGAUCGGUAGCUGGUCUGAGAGGAGGAUCAGCCACACUGGGACUGAGACACGGCCCAGACUCCUACGGGAGGCAGCAGUGGGGAAUAUUGCGCAAUGGGCGAAAGCCUGACGCAGCAACGCCGCGUGGGUGAUGAAAUCCUUUGGGAUGUAAAACCCUGUCAGCUGGGAAGAAACCUGCCGCAAGGCAGGCUGACUGUACCGGCAAAGGAAGCCCCGGCUAACUCCGUGCCAGC